UAACUAACCAUUUCUCAGUAAAUAUGGCUUUAUUCAAUAAAAUUAUACAGUAUGACUUUGAACAUGUGACAGAACUGAAAUGUUCGUUUUAUGAUAAAAGGUGUCAAAGCUAAUGUGGAGGUUGCAUAUCACCACAUUCUCCCCAGGUUUUAAGAAAGAUCGUAAUCUUGAAGAUGAGACGGUGGAUGUCGGUCUCUAGUAGAACGUCGCAGUUCAGGGUUUUGUGUUGUAGUAGCAUCUGUAGUCAAAUUAACUGGUUCCUGUUCUUCAGUUGUUGUCUCUUCGUUUGACUCUGCUGAAUCCCAAUUAGAUGAAUCAGAAUCAGCCUCCUCAGUAUCAGACGAAGUACCCAUUGGGGCUAAGUGCCUGUUUGAAACUACUAAUUCUCGUCCAUUCUGUAAUCUUAUGUGUGAAUGAAGGUUGUUAGCUUCUAAUAAUUGUACUUCUUCUACAAGAGGAUCAUAUUUACUUCUCCUCACCGGGGUUCGAUAUAAAGCUUUAUCUGCUUCUGUGAGCCAAGAUGGCAUUGAUUGUCCAUUAGAAGAACGUCGUGAAUGAUUAAACAUACGCUCAUGGGGCGUACAUCCAGUAGCUGUGCAUAGAAGUGAGCGGAUAGCAUGAAGUGACUUCUCAAGGACAGUUUCCCAUUGAGUAAUAGGCAAAUUAAUUGAUUUUAAGUUGAUGAACUUACAUCUGCACACGGGAAAGCGAAAGGAAAUCUAGAAAACUCAUCCACCACACGCAUACAUUGCAUGAUGACGUCAUACGUCUGACAUCCUCAACUGAGAAUGGUAAAUUUUUUGAUCUGAUCCAGUGUACCAUUCUAGUUAUACCGGGAUGACACAGAUUAUUAUGCAACUCGAGAAGCUUAGCAUUGUCUACUGUUGUUAAUGCUGUUACAUU